rnacentral:rRNA from 1 species
CCCUUAGAUGUUCUGGGCUGCACGCGCGCUACACUGAUGCGUUCAACGAGUUUAUAACCUUGCCCGAUAGGGUUGGGUAAUCUUUUGAAAACGCAUCGUGAUGGGGAUAGAUUAUUGUAAUUAUUAAUCUUCAACGAGGAAUUCCUAGUAAGCGCGAAUCAUCAGUUCGUGCUGAUUACGUCCCUGCCCUUUGUACACACCGCCCGUCGCUCCUACCGAUUGGGUGUGCUGGUGAAAUGUUCGGAUCGGCCGUUUGUCGCGGUUUCCGCGUCAUGUGGCUGAGAAGUUCAUUAAACCCUCCCACCUAGAGGAAGGAGAAGUCGUAACA